rnacentral:rRNA from 1 species
GACGAACGCUGGCGGCGCGCUUAACACAUGCAAGUCGAGCGAUGAAACUCUAACAGUGCCCUUCGGGGCGAAGACAAAGUGGAUUAGCGGCGGACGGUUGAGUAACACGUGAUUAACCUGCCCUACACAUAGGUAUAGCUACGGCAAACCGGGAUUAAUACCAAAUAAAAUCAUAAUGACACAUUUCAUAACGUUCAAAACGCCGGUGGGCUUAGAUGGACUCGCGUCCCAUUGGCUAGUUGGUAGAGUAUCAGCAGACCAAGGCGAGGAUGGGUAGCCGGGCGGGGAGGGGGAACGGCUAGAUUUGAACUGAGACACGGACCAAUCUCCUACGGGGCAGAGCAGUGGGGAAUAUUGCAGAAUGAAGCGAAAUGUAGUGAAGCGGCGCGGCGUGAACCAAGAAGGCGUUCGAGACGUAAAGUUGUUUUAUAUGGAGAGAGAAUGACGGUACCAGAAGAAAAAGCCCCGGCUAACUACGUG